CGGAUUUGUACAAUUUAAACUCAGCAUAUGGUUCUGAGGAGGAACUUAAACACUGCAUUGAAGAAAUGCAUUCUCAAGACCUUUUGGCCUUGGGAGAUGUUGUGCUGAAUCAUCGGUGUGCACAUAAACAGAGCCCAAAUGGUGUUUGGAACAUUUUUGGUGGCAAGCUUUCU